ACCUGGGUGGCUCAGUUGGUUGAGCAUCUGACUCUUGAUUUCAUUUCAGAUCAUGAUCUCAUAGUUUGUGGGUUUGAGCCCCAUCUCAGGCU
rnacentral:tRNA from 1 species